rnacentral:rRNA from 1 species
AUUGAACGCUGGCGGCAGGCCUAACACAUGCAAGUCGAACGAGUGGCGGACGGGUGAGUAAUGUCUGGGAAACUGCCUGAUGGAGGGGGAUAACUACUGGAAACGGUAGUUAAUACCGCAUACCAUCGGAUGUGCCCAGAUGGGCUUAGCGAGUAGGUGGGGUACAGGAUCACCUUGGCGGCGAUCCCUAGCUGAUCUGAGCGGAUGACCAGCCACACUGGAACGAGGACACGGUCCAGACUCCUACGGGAGGCAGCAGUGGAGAAUAUUGGACAAUGGGCGCAAGCCUGAUGGAGACAUGCCGCGUGUAUGAAGAAGGCCUUCGGGUUGUAAAGGACUUUCAGCGGGGAGGCGUUACCCACAGAAGAAGCACCGGCUAACUCCGUGCCAGCAGCCGCGGUAAUUC